UAUAGUGGCCGAUUAGGUGUUAGUCUCUUAAACUAGUUAAGGAUAAUAUAGUUAAAUUA
rnacentral:tRNA from 1 species